rnacentral:rRNA from 1 species
CCUACGGGAGGCAGCAGUGAGGAAUAUUGGUCAAUGGACGCAAGUCUGAACCAGCCAUGCCGCGUGCAGGAAGACGGCUCUAUAAGUUGUAAACUGCUUUUGUACGAGGGUAAACGCAGAUACGCGUAUCUGUCUGAAAGUAUCGUACGAAUAAGGAUCGGCUAACUCCGUGCCAGCAGCCGCGGUAAUACGGAGGAUUCAAGCGUUAUUCGGAUUUAUUGGGUUUAAAGGGUGCGUAGGCGGACUGGAAAGUCAGCGGUAAAAUCGAGAGGCUCAACCUCUUUCCGCCGUUGAAACUGUCGGUCGUGAGUGGGCGAGAAGUAUGCGGAAUGCGUGGUGUAGCGGUGAAAUGCAUAGAUAUCACGCAGAACUCCGAUUGCGAAGGCAGCAUACCGGCGCCCGACUGACGCUGAGGCACGAAAGCGUGGGUAUCGAACAGGAUUAGAUACCCCAGUAGUC